rnacentral:rRNA from 1 species
AGAGUUUGAUCAUGGCUCAGAUUGAACGCUGGCGGAAUGCUUUACACAUGCAAGUCGAACGGCAGCAUAGAGAGCUUGCUCUCUGAUGGCGAGUGGCGAACGGGUGAGUAGUAUAUCGGAACGUGCCUAGUAAUGGGGAAUAACUAGCUGAAAGGUUAGCUAAUGCCGCAUACGACCUACGGGUGAAAGCAGGGGAUCUUCGGACCUUGCGUUAUUAGAGCGGCCGAUAUCUGAUUAGCUUGUUGGUGGGGUAAUGGCCUACCAAGGCGACGAUCAGUAGCUGGUCUGAGAGGACGAUCAGCCACACUGGAACUGAGACACGGUCCAGACUCCUACGGGAGGCAGCAGUGGGGAAUUUUGGACAAUGGGGGCAACCCUGAUCCAGCCAUUCCGCGUGAGUGAAGAAGGCCUUCGGGUUGUAAAGCUCUUUCGCAAGAGAAGA